CAUCAUUACUAAUGAGUCUUUCUUCUUUUUCCAGUAAGAAAGUAAUUGCAGGCGUGUUAUGAUUUUCUUCCCUCUCACAACAAGCAAACAUAGUUUUCUCUCAUUGUGUACUCCAGAACUUGAGUCAUUUGAGAAGCAGCAAGCAGAGCUCUGCACUGGUUUGAGGAGGAAGAGGUACUGCUCCUUCCUAAGCAGCCCUGGCCUCAUCUGGAAUGAUGAUCUGGAAUGCAGUGGGAUUAGCCAACACUCACUGAUUUAAUAUCAGAUCAGCACCUUUUUCUUAAACAGCCCUGGUAUUCCAGAAAUCUUCACACUCUGCCUUUAUCUCACCAAAAUUUGCCAAAGAAAGAGUGCCCUCUGUAUUGCCUGAACUCACACCCUGAGGAAUUUAAUACCUGCACCUGUGUGAGCCAGUUCUCGUCUUGUGAUGGGAUAAUUUUUGUAUCUGGUACUGUUUAUUCACAUCCAUUGUGAAUUAACAGUAAUUCCCACUUAUUUGUUGGGAAGAGCUUCUCUGAUAAGAAAGAAGAGUAGUUCGAAAAAAUAAGAAGAAAUCGCAAUAAUUGAUGGGAAGAGAGCUCACAGUUGGUCCUGCAGCAGUAGGAGAUAUUCCUGUUUUUCUCUAGAGAUUAGCAUCAGCCUCAGGCAAAGUCCAUUUUCCUUUGUCUUACAAACACCAUUCGACUAUAACAUUGUACCUGCGGUGAAGCUUUUAAGGCACCUAUGGCACAAUAGUUAAAGCAGCUCACUGGAAGCCUGGGGAUGGUGACUGUACUUAAAAUUCAGUAGGGAGUCUGCAUAAGAAAGAGCAUCGACCUUCUUGGCAGCCCAUACUGAUCAGUGGCUGGGCUGCUGUGUUGCAUCCGCUGGGAUUUUUUCAGUGUAUGGGGGCAAAGUACUGGGAAUCAUGGCAGGAGUGGAUGCUAUGGUUGUCUAGGAGGUUUUUUUACCUCAGUCAUGGAAAAGUCAUGUUUUCUUGCAGGUGACUGAAUUCUCAGCAACAAGGGAAAGCUGAGAAGAUGUACAUUGUUUUGAUGUCUCAAAGCCUGCACAGCUAUGAAAAGUAGCCUCAUUGUUAAAGACAGGGAGUCACACUGCUUCCAUGAGAGCUUAUCUAGCAUUGAGGGAACUGAGAAUAUGCGAGGAAUGAAUUGAGGCAGGAGAAGCAAGAUUGCCCCAAAAUACUGUUCUCAAUAAGGAUAUCCUUAUUGCUCUGCAUAGCUUUCUACAUGUAUUAGGUUUGAAUCUUUUCUACUGAAAUGUGUCGAGUGCAAAAUCGUUUUAGUAGGAGAAAAAUUUAUCCCAUUCUGUGGAUUCUAUUGGUCUGCAUAAAGAAAAACCUGAGGGCAUGGCAUGAAAUUGUGGAAGUAAUGACAAAUCUGUUUUCCUGCUCAGUGUUUUCAAAAAGUAUUUGUAAGGACAGAUGGUGGGCAGCAGCAGAACAUGUUCAGUUUUAUCAAGACAUUUGGCUAACAAGCACAGACUGAAAUGGAUUUCUUUCCAUCUUAACUUAAUAAUUUUAAUUAGAGGCAAAAGGUGUGGUAGGCUCAUUGUCUGGAGGCGUAUGUGCAAUAUUGUCUUGGUUGGGCAGGACUGGGUGGGAGAGAAUAUCACUACCUCUAAUGAAGGGUGGUGCAUAUCUGUGCAAUCUCAGGUUUUUUUAUUGUCUGGUAAUCUAAAAAAUGCAAAUUCCAAAUGUGCUCUUGCACAACAUACACCGUGAUACACAGAGGCUACUUUCAGUUAGUCAGAGAAUAAAAACAUGGCUACAAAAUGUGUGCAAAUAAUACUGUGCCACUGCAGAAGAAAGGCUUUUUAGCAAGUGGUGGGACAUGCAUUUAUUAUCUUGAGGGGAAGUUUUCAAAGCUACCUAUGUAACUUAGAGGUCUCUGUAACUCAUUCACUAUUCAAAUUCUUACAAAAAUCUUACUUAUUAACAAGUCAUUUUGAACUUCAUGUAAUCUCUCUGUAAAGACAUCAAAGUAUUCUGGAAGUGGUAAUUAGGGACCAUAUGCUCUAACCAGGUCUAAUGGUGUUCAUUUACCCUACUUCUCUGGCCAUAUUCUAGCUUCUUUGUUAAGUUGCUUGCACAGAUGACGUGCAUUUUGUCCUUUACCAGCUCUCCAAGCCCUAUCCCAGGAACUGCUUCUCCUGCUUUUGGGUGCUGCAGGGGGAGGCAUAUUGUAUUGGGCUGGUCCCAAAAGGAAGCACUGUCAUAGUCCUCAUUAAAAUGUCUGUCUGCUAGAAAGAAAGGUCAUAGUAUUUAUGCAGAGUACCUUCUAACUGUAUUCUGGGCUGCAUCUAAAGAAGCUGACCAACAGGUUGAGGAAGGUGGUUCUGCCCCUCUACUCCACUCUCAUGAGAACCUGCCCAAAGCACUGUGUUCAGGCCUGGGGACCCCAGCAUAAGAAAAAAUGGACCUCUGGAGGAGGGCCAUGAAGAUGAUGAGAAAGGCCAGUUCUUCUAAGAGGAAAGGCUGAGAGUUGGGCUGGUUCAGCCUGGAGAAGAGAAGGCUCCAGGGACACUUUAUAGCAGCCUUCCAGUGCUUAGAGGGGGCCUACAUGAAGGCUGGAGAGGGGCUUCUUACAAGGGCAUCCGGUGAUAGGACAAGGGGGAAGGCCUUUAAACUGAAAGACAGUAGGUUUAGAUUAGAUAUUAGGAAGAAAUUCUUCGCUAUAAGGGUGGCGAGGUACUUAAACGGGUUGGCCAGAGAAGGUGUGGAUGUCCCAUCCUUGGAAGUAUUCAAGGCCAGGUUGAUGGGGGGCUCUGAGCACCCUGGUCUAGUGG